UUGCGCUGAUAGAAGCAGCACAGGGCUGCAGAGAGGGCGUGGAAGGCGCUGCAUUCCUUAGGCAUCUUGUCUGCAGUCCCAGACGCCACACACCUUCACACCACACACCUUCCGUUAAGAGGAAGGGGGCAUUGGAUGGUGGAGCCCCAGUCCCACGCUCAGCUGCUCCUGUCCACAGCCAGCCACCAACAGAAUGAGCUCUCAGUGGCUUCAGCCCCUUUCAAAAGCAGAACGCAUCCUGAACUUUCCGAAAACUUCACCCAGGGAAACUUGUAACAAGGGAGAAACAGAACCUAUUCAUUCCAGCAAGGAACAACACCGGAUGAGGCAUGAGAGAGUUGCACAGAAACAGAGGACCAGAAUGGACUGUCAUUCUGCAGGGAACAAAGGAACAGAGACUCCAGCUUGCAGAACUGGACUGCAGAACGUAAUCAGCUGAUCACAU